rnacentral:ncRNA from 1 species
CGCCCUGCCACUUGGCAAAAUAUAAAAAUACAAUGAACUAUAUUAGUAAAUUUGAGAAAUCAAAAGGUGAAAGUUUAGUUUGUAAAUGCAUACAA